CCCUAGUAACUGCGAGUGAAGCGGGAAAAGCUCAAAUUUAAAAUCUGGCGGUCUUUGGCUGUCCGAGUUGUAAUCUAGAGAAGUGUUAUCCGCGCUGGACCGUGUACAAGUCUCCUGGAAUGGAGCGUCAUAGAGGGUGAGAAUCCCGUCUUUGACACGGACUACCAGGGCUUUGUGAUGCGCUCUCAAAGAGUCGAGUUGUUUGGGAAUGCAGCUCAAAAUGGGUGGUAAAUUCCAUCUAAAGCUAAAUAUUGGCGAGAGACCGAUAGCGAACAAGUACCGUGAGGGAAAGAUGAAAAGAACUUUGGAAAGAGAGUUAAACAGUACGUGAAAUUGCUGAAAGGGAAACGCUUGAAGUCAGUCGCGUUAUCCAGGGAUCAGCCUUGCUUUUGCUUGGUGCACUUUCUGGUUGACGGGUCAGCAUCAAUUUUGACUAUUGGAAAAAGAUCAGGGGAAUGUGGCAUCUUCGGAUGUGUUAUAGCCCUUGGUUGUAUACAAUGGUUGGGAUUGAGGAACUCAGCACGCCGCAAGGCCGGGUUUAAACCACGUACGUGCUUAGGAUGCUGGCAUAAUGGCUUUAAUCGACCCGUCUUGAAACACGGACCAAGGAGUCUAACAUACCUGCGAGUGUUUGGGUGGAAAACCCGAGCGCGUAAUGAAAGUGAAAGUUGAGAUCCCUGUCGUGGGGAGCAUCGACGCCCAGACCAGACCUUUUGUGACGGUUCUGCGGUAGAGCAUGUAUGUUGGGACCCGAAAGAUGGUGAACUAUGCCUGAAUAGGGUGAAGCCAGAGGAAACUCUGGUGGAGGCUCGUAGCGAUUCUGACGUGCAAAUCGAUCGUCAAAUUUGGGUAUAGGGGCGAAAGACUAAUCG
rnacentral:rRNA from 1 species